rnacentral:rRNA from 1 species
AUUGAACGCUGGCGGCAUGCCUUACACAUGCAAGUCGAACGGUAACGGGCCUUCGGGUGCCGACGAGUGGCGAACGGGUGAGUAAUACAUCGGAACGUGCCCGAUCGUGGGGGAUAACGAGGCGAAAGCUUUGCUAAUACCGCAUACGAUCUACGGAUGAAAGCAGGGGACCGCAAGGCCUUGCGCGGACGGAGCGGCCGAUGGCAGAUUAGGUAGUUGGUGGGAUAAAAGCUUACCAAACCGACGAUCUGUAGCUGGUCUGAGAGGAUGAUCAGCCACACUGGGACUGAGACACGGCCCAGACUCCUACGGGAGGCAGCAGUGGGGAAUUUUGGACAAUGGGCGCAAGCCUGAUCCAGCCAUGCCGCGUGCAGGAUGAAGGCCUUCGGGUUGUAAACUGCUUUUGUACGGAACGAAAAGCCUUCUUUUAAUACAGGAGGGUCAUGACGGUACCGUAAGAAUAAGCACCGGCUAACUACGUG